CCCGCCCCGGCGGGACGGGCCCGCGGGCGGACGGCGCUGGGAGAGCCGGGCUCGUGGCGCCGGUGGGGGCAGGGAUGGAGAGAAGGGCUACACAGGCCUCAGCUUUCCCUCAUAAAUGAGCUGUGCCAGUCCCUGAUCUUCCAGGACACUUUCAGACUGUCGCUCCUGUCUUGAGGGGCCCAGAACUGGAAACAUUUGAGGCCUCACCCUCUUCCCACCAG